rnacentral:lncRNA from 1 species
GACAGUGGUACAGCAGUACAACAUAAGAACGAACUAUAAAAUUCAGUUGAAAAAGGCUUAACUCAUCAGAUGGACAAAAAUAUAAGUGGACGUGGCCGGGUACUUAUACAUCCCGACACAAAAAGAUACAAUGAACAGAUCUGAGAGUACUCGCAGUUAUCUGACAGCUAGUUCAAAGCCACUAACAACUAAUAAAAAAUCGUGCAUCUAAGACUAAACUAUCAAUCCGUACACAUUCAACAUCCAAUGGAUUUAGUGUAAAGACAUCAUAAACAACCAGAGAAAAACAUGACCUUGUACAAUGCCAAG